CGUGGUGCGGAAACUAGUACUGUUGACACUGCGGAGUCUUUGCAGGUAAUGGAUUUGUUCAUAGACGUCCAUUGAUUUAUAGUUAAUCAACCGUUUUAUAAGGCAUUUGUAUUAUCUUUAAACUUAGCAAAGUGUGAAAUGCUGUCUGUUUAUGAUUGCACCUUAGCGAAUGCUCAUGGUAUCCCUGUAAAAUAUUACGGCAAACACAAAACUAAAGACAAUAGUUGAUUAGAAAACUGAAAUAUUUGGGAAAAGAUAUCAGAAUGUAGACAUGAACUUAAUUUUUGGGUUAAAAAAGGUCUUUCUAUUUUAGGAGACAUUUUAUUAACUAAAAUGGAAGCAUGGCACGUUGAACAUUCUAGAUAUUCUUUAUUGCUCCCCAGCAAGGUAAUAAAAGUAAUAUAAAUAAUAAUAACUAUAAAUAAUUUUUAUCAAUUUUAUUUGGGAAAAAGCCGCACUAUGUAAGAAGAUACACCGUAGUACACCACUUUGAAAUGGGUCUGAUCCUAUCAGAAUGUGACUCCUUAUACUUUGCAAUGAUACAACACACAGCAGUUCUGGACCCUGUGAACGGCUUGAAACUUGAAGAUGGGCAUCUACUGCCUUCUUUCUGAGGUCCAGACUAAUUUCUUCAGUUUGGGCAUGAUGACUGACCACCCCAAUGUUCAAUAAAUUAGUUAUACAGCA